rnacentral:rRNA from 1 species
UGAGGUGUGGAUAGGGGAGAAAUUCCAAUCGAACCCGGAGAUAGCUGGUUCUCCUCGAAAUAGCUUUAGGGCUAGCCCCGUAUUAGUUUAGCGGAGGUAGAGCACUGAAUUCCUAAGGGGGCGUCAAAGCUUACCAAGGGAUAUCAAACUCCGAAUGCCGCAUAAAUGAUGUACGGGAGUCAGACUGCACGAGAUAAGUUGGGCAGUCAAAAGGGAAAGAGCCCAGACCUACAGCUAAGGUCCCAAAGUGUGUGUUAAGUGGAAAAGGAUGUGGGAUUUCAGAGACAACUAGGAUGUUGGCUUAGAAGCAGCCACACAUUCAAAGAGUGCGUAAUAGCUCACUAGUCGAGAGGUCCUGCGCCGAAAAUGUCCGGGGCUGAAACACGACACCGAAGCUGUGGACUUGUCAUUAGACAAGUGGUAGAGGAGCAUUCUUAACUGCGGCGAAGCAGUACCGAUAAGGAGCUGUGGAGUGUUAAGAAGAGAGAAUGCCGGAAUGAGUAGCGAGAUGGAGGUGGGAAUCCUCCAGGCCGAAUAUCUAAGGUUUCCAGAGUAAAGCUGAUCUGCUCUGGGUAAGUCGGGACCUAAGGCAAGGUCGAAAGACGUAGUCGAUGGACAACAGGUUGAAAUUCCUGUACCACAUAUCAUCAGAACUGUGGGGACACAGGACGAUAACCAGACCCGGGAAUGAAAAGACCGGGGCAAGCGAGGUAGGAGUUAAGCUGGCAAAUCCGCUUAGCAAUCCGAAGACGUGAUGCGGACCGAACAAAAGUAGGGAAGCUGGUAAUUCGAACUGUCAAGAAAAGCCGCUAUUGUGUGAUAUGUGCCCGUACCGUAAACCGACACAGGUGGAUGAGGAGAGAAUCCUAAGGCCGGCGGGAGAAGCAUUGUUAAGGAACUCGGCAAAAUGACCCUGUAACUUCGGGAUAAAGGGUGCCUGCGCAAGCAGGCCGCAGAGAAUAGGCUCAAGCAACUGUUUAGCAAAAACACAGGUCUAUGCAAAACCGAAAGGUGAGGUAUAUGGGCUGACGCCUGCCCGGUGCUGGAAGGUUAAGGGGAGAGGUUAGUCGUAAGGCGAAGCUUUGAACUUAAGCCCCAGUAAACGGCGGCCGUAACUAUAACGGUCCUAAGGUAGCGAAAUUCCUUGUCGGGUAAGUUCCGACCC